rnacentral:sRNA from 1 species
AGAGUCAUUAGUCGUCGGUGACAACUCUCCAACCAUGAUCGACCGUACGUUGAUCGAAUCCACAGGAGAACGGCGAGGGGUAGUCGGAGAUAGAGGGGC